CUUCCUGUAUUUUGUCUACGUAGGAAAUUUAUGUCUUCAUACAAGUACAGUUUCAGUCCUCUAGUCGAUGAAGGAACGUAUUGUCUGUUUACGGUAUAGGUCUAGUUCUCUUGUUGACAAACGAAUAGACUUUCUGUAUACAACAUAGAUUGAGUCUUCACGAUGGCGAAAGAAAGUAUUUUUGAACACAGUAUAGUUCGAGUCAUCUUGUUGACUUCUGUAUGCUUCCUACGAAGAAAUUAUUUUUCUUUGCACGUAUACAAGAAUGCUCUAAGUUCUUUUGUCGAUUUAAGCACUUUUUACUGCAUGCAAAUAUAGUUUCGCUCCUCUUAUCAACAUUAUGGUCUAUAAAUAUUCGAGUGCCUAUUUUAAAAGCUAUACGAGUAAAAUCCGUUGGCACUCUGCAAAUGGCAUAAGUAAGAAACACAAAAAAUGACUUAUUCAAACUUUUUUUCAUGAAUUAUUUGGAUUAUCUUAUUGUCACAUGUUAAACCCACAGUUUUAAGCAAUGAGCAAUACAAAAAAAAUGUACUUUCAGUGUACAGUAUUUUUAAGUCCUCUUGUCGAUGAAGGGGCGUACUUUCAGUGUACAGUAUUUUAAGUCAUCUUGUCAAUGAAGGAGGUACUUUCAGUUACAGUAUAUGUUAAGUCUUCUUUCGAUGAUAUCACGUUCUGUCUAUAUACAAAAAUACUAUAAGUCCUCUUGUCGAUGAAGGAACGUUCUGUCUGUAUACAAAAAUACUAAAAGUCCUCUUGUCGAUGAAGAAACGUUCUCUCUGUAUACAAGUAUAGUUUCAGUCCUCUUAUCAACAUUAUAAGCUAUAAAUACUCGAGUACCUAUAAAACAUUCCGUAGUUGCGUCGUUAGCAAAUUAUAAACACAUACGAAAAGAAAAUUAGCAGCAAAUUAGCAUUGCGAGAUACUUGUGAAAUACAUUCAACAGGAUAAUACAUCCAAAGAAGUCAUGAAAACCUUACAUAUUCUAUGCCUGGCGUUUAUAUCGCUUCUGCUUUUGAAUGACCUUCCAGUUGUGAGGUCACAUCGGCAAUUAUGUCGACUUACUAUACGUUAUGGACAGCCCAGUUGUCAAGAUACAGGACGUUUAAUAAAUGGACGUGGAAGGUGCGGAAGGAGUGGGAAAUCUUGUGGCUUGGUUAGACGUCGUUUGUGCAGAUGUAGAAGAGGUGGUGUAUUUUUGCAUCCUGGGAGAGAGUAAACACUAAUUUGUGAUUUGGAAGGAAUUGUUUUAUAUUGUUGAGUAAUAAGUAAUGCAGUGCUAUUCAACACUCGUCAUAACUGUUUUUGAGAUGAAUAACAUGUUACCUUAUGUUUCUUGACAAUUAACCGUUAAUGCACCAGAUUUUAAUGGCAUCGGCCAUUUGUACGUCUCAGUAAUUCAAAUAUGUUUUUUUUCAUGUGAAGAAGAAAGUGUUUAGAAUAAAACUAGGAGGCGCGGUGAA